rnacentral:rRNA from 1 species
CUAGUCAUAUGGAUUGUGUCAGCAGCGCGCGGUAAAACCAGCACCUCAAGUGGUCAGGAUGAUUAUUGGGCCUAAAGCAUCCGUAGCUGCUUCGUUAGUUUUCGGUUAAAUCCAUACGCUUAACGUAUGGGCUGCCGGGAAUACUGCAAAGCUAGGGAGUGGGAGAGGUAGACGGUACUCGGUAGGAAGGGGUAAAAUCCUUUGAUCUAUUGAUGACCACCUGUGGCGAAGGCGGUCUACCAGAACACGUCCGACGGUGAGGGAUGAAAGCUGGGGGAGCAAACCGGAUUAGAUACCCGGGUAGUCCCAGCUGUAAACUAUGCAAACUCGGUGAUGCAUUGGCUUGAUGCCAAUGCAGUGCCGCAGGGAAGCCGUUAAGUUUGCCGCCUGGGAAGUACGUACGCAAGUAUGAAACUUAAAGGAAUUGGCGGGGGAGCACCACAAGGGGUGAAGCCUGCGGUUCAAUUGGAGUCAACGCCAGAAAUCUUACCCGGAGAGACAGCAGAAUGAAGGUCAAGCUGAAGACUUUACCAGACAAGCUGAGAGGUGGUGCAUGGCCGUCGCCAGCUCGUGCCGUGAGAUGUCCUGUUAAGUCAGGUAACGAGCGAGAUCCCUGCCUCUAGUUGCCACCAUUACUCUCAGGAGUAGUGGGGCGAAUUAGCGGGACCGCCGUAGUUAAUACGGAGGAAGGAAGGGGUCACGGCAGGUCAGUAUGCCCCGAAACUCUGGGGCCACACGCGGGCUGCAAUGGUAACGACAAUGUGUUCCGAAUCCGAAAGGAGGAGGUAAUCCAGAAACGUUACCACAGUUAUGACUGAGGGCUGCAACUCGCCCUCACGAAUAUGGAAUCCCUAGUAACUGCGUGUCAUUAUCGCGCGGUGAAUACGUCCCUGCUCCUUGCACACACCGCCCGUCA